UUAGUGCGCCUGCGUAGUGUGUUCCGCAGUUUUUCCGGUCGGCGAUCUCAGGAACCAAGAGUGGCAAAAACGAGCAGCAGGCGGAAGAGAGGAGGAAGUUUCUUGAAGGAUAUGAUGGCUUCAGUAUUUCUGAAGACACAGAAUUUCCAUUAAUCAUUCAGCAGAGAGGAGCUAUUAUGAAGUUCCAAGAACAAGGACAGAAUAUCAGGGCAGCUCACAUCCUAGCAAUCCAGUCGUGGCGUGACUGAAUGAGGAGGCAUCCAGAUGUGUCCUGGGUGCAGACCUAAGAUGACCUGCCUAAAGCUAUAGCUAAUAAGAAGUAGUUGCUUGAAAGCUGGUGGGAAGUUUCAUUGUUUGCUCUCCUCUCUAGGAGACCAAAGAGAGGUGAAGUCUUUCCUGAGCACAGAUGAUCGAAGCUGGGUGAACACUCAGUCAAAUUAGAGUUUCAGUUUCAAGAAUGGAUUUCUCCAUGUCUCAGGGAUUUUAAAUCUUGAGGAGAUGAUCUUACCUCAUGACAGCCAGUCCAGUGUUUUUGCCACGUGACCAAACCACUUCCAGAAGGACCUUGAUAACCAGCUUGAUGGUCAGAUUGUCCAUUUCGAUGACUUUGUCAGUAUAGAGUUUCUCCAGAAGUUCACACAAUGACUUGGCACCCUGGCCUGUGACAUCAUUGGCCUUCCAGGACUUCAGGAAGCGUUCCCAAGGCCCCAUCUGAUGCAAAGUCCUCCCCUGUGCUUCACCACUGCUUGUCUUUACCCUGAUCCCAGCACAAUGGCUCUGCUUGUUGUCUGGUUUGCCACGUCUGUUGUUAAUUUAAACCACCAGGAGGUCAGGGACGGCUCUAUUUUGUUUGAAUGGCAUGCGUUCACCGGAAAAUAAUCUUCUCUCCAAUGUAGAAUCCUGAGCAUGAGAAUUCUCAAGACACACUAGGUCAAGAGUGAGAGCAAAGUACAAAAUAUAUGUUCACUGUCUUAUAUGGUGUUUCUUCUUGUGAACAUAUGGGUAUAAUCGUGGCUCAAUAAAAGAUGUGCUCCAAUUA